UCCUGUACUCCAAAGAGCCGCCGCCCUCUGCUCUUCUUCCUCUUUUUUUUAAUCAGAUCUAUCAAUUCAAGGUGUGUGAUUUCCACCCCUCUCCUCUCUCUCUCUCUCUCUCUCUCUCUCUCUCUCUGCGUGUGUGUGCGCACGCGCAGCGCUUGUUGGAAUAAGAAACUUCCAUUAAUAGGAUCCAAUGAAUAUGACGGAAGGAGGUGCUCUCAAGAGCAAAGUGGAGAUGGAUCUCGUGAGCCCCAAAGUUAAGAUGAAGAUGGAAGUGUUGAUUAUUCCAUCACUUCGCUGAUGGGCAUGGGGAGCUUCGGGAAAUUAUUAAUUAGUUAUUUUCAGCGAUCGCUAAAGGAUUCUUUGAGCUUUAGACGUGUACACCUGCUUUCGGGGUGUCCGUGUCUUAAGCGGAAGCCUUAUUUUCAUUUUAUCCUCGUAGCCUUGUAUGGCCAUAAAAAAAUAAAAAUAAAAGAAAGAGGAUUAUGGUUCCAUUUCUAGCUGUGUUUUUUUUUUGUACAGUUUCUCUGCGAUGGAAACUGACCGAUCUGACUUUUGGCCGAUGACAGCAAAAAAGGAAGAAAAAAAAAGAAAAUCUUAACAUGACGGGGGUUGCGUGCUCCCUAAGACUACAUAAAACUUGAGAGCAAUCAUCACCGUUCAUGAAAGCGUGAUCAAGCAAGCAUUGACUGCUUCCUAUUGUUAUUAGAUGGAAAGAAAUAGUCGAGCAAAUGACUAGCAGAAGGCAGUAGAACCUCGGAGCUGUAAGUCACCGGAGUAUGCUCUCACCUUCAUUCAGAGGCAAACAUAUUCACUUGUAGAUUUUUCUGUUGUGAUGUAAAUUCCAAGUCAGUGGAGUUAUUAAGUGUCUUUCAAGGCCUGCAACAUUCAAAUGCGUGCACAUAUAUUCACCUGCGUUUUUUU